rnacentral:rRNA from 1 species
UCGUACGACGAGUUUGAUCCUGGCUCAGAACGAACGCUGGCGGCAGGCCUAACACAUGCAAGUCGAGCGAGGUAGCAAUACCUAGCGGCGGACGGGUGAGUAACGCGUGGGAACGUACCCUUUGCUACGGAAUAGCCCCGGGAAACUGGGAGUAAUACCGUAUGUGCCCCUUGGGGGAAAGAUUUAUCGGCAAAGGAUCGGCCCGCGUUGGAUUAGGUAGUUGGUGGGGUAAUGGCCUACCAAGCCGACGAUCCAUAGCUGGUUUGAGAGGAUGAUCAGCCACACUGGGACUGAGACACGGCCCAGACUCCUACGGGAGGCAGCAGUUAGGAAUAUUGGACAAUGGGCGAAAGCCUGAUCCAGCCAUGCCGCGUGUGUGAUGAAGGCCCUAGGGUUGUAAAGCACUUUCGUUGGGGAUGAUAAUGACCGUACCCAAAGAAGAAGCACCGGCUAACUUCGUG